UGUCGCAGAUAGCAUCGUUAUCCCCGAAGGGCAGAGCAGGACGUGCUGCAUGAGUGUGCGAUGCCUUGCGUCGAGUGAGCCCCGAAUCCCGUCGUCGAAUCUGGGUCAGGAAGACGAGCUUCUCCUCAAUGGGCAAUACCAGUAUCACCGAGGGGAAGACGGCCUUGACGUUGGGCAACACCACGAUCAAGAGGGGAAAGUCCAGGAUCGCCAUGGGGAGCUCCUCCAUCAGCAGGGACAAGCGCACAACAUCGUUGGGGUCCUCCACCAUCACCAGUGGAAAGACCAAGAUCGCCCUGGGGGGCGCCUCCUUCAGCAGAGGCACCACCACCACCUCUUUUCGGAAAGUUCUCUUCCCCAAAAGCGUAACCAAACGCAAGACGCUCUAGAUGAAAGGGGACCUGGUCGAGGGGUGGGGGGACUGGCACAAAAUGUCCGAAGAAAGAAGAAGAAAGAAGCACCAUCACAGAGAACAUUUGGACACCACGACAUCAUCUGCACAGAGUCUGUUCCAACUGAGAGCCAAAACUGGAUUAGAUUUACCGAUGGACCGUUGACUGCUUUUUGGUCAUGUCGGAUUUAUCAAGGAAACAGGUUCCCCCGUGACCACGGCAACAACGCUCCGGCAGUCGCGGAUGACGGCACGAGAGCUCUAUAGCCAGACCAGAGCAACAACACAGUAAAUGUUAAACACCACAAUUUGCCUCGUGACUGUUUCACAAUAUUUGGCCUCAGAUAAACAAACUGGAGUUGUAUGAAAAUUCCCACUCACUUCAGAAAGCCUCAUACCUGCCAUGUUAAUAUCAAACCUGUUGCUAGUGGCAACAUCACAGGGACAUAGAUGACGAUGACACUGCUGUCACUGUGGACAUCAUAAACAUCACACAGUGUCUUCGGUGGUGAUGUGCAUGCAUCCCCUCGGUCUGCAGUUUUCUUUCACCUGACCGCGGCAGACUCUUUCAUUAUUCCUCCAUUAUUAUUCUUAAUUUGAAAGUCUUUCCUGUAAUGCCUCUGAGACCCGUACACAGGCCUCUUGCAGAAACUGUUCCUUGUGGUGGUGCAAAUGUUUGAUCAGGUUUUCCUUAAUUAUACACAAAUGUCUUUUGCUGUACAUAUGUGUUUCUAAUUCAAAUGGGCUCCUUCAGUUAAGUAAGACACUGUAAACGAGGCACUGAAACAUUGAGAAGACCUGGUUAUGGUGACCCAGAUCAUGUGAAUACACUUGUUUCUUCUUUUUUCUUUAGAGGACUGUGAUGCCAGUUUGACUUUGUGAUGCCCCCCCCCCUCCCCCUCCCCCAACCCCUACCCCCCUCUUGUAAUAGACGGGAACUGAAUUUCUUGAUCCCCCAAAAAACAACCCUCCUUUCCUGAAGUCCCACCAAAAAGUCAUAACUUUGUCACACGACUUGUUGGGAGUUGAAAUAAUCUCUGUGUGUGCCGAUUGGAUUUUAAACGUGUAUGAUGUGACAGUGAAGGAGAAUAGGUCAAACUUGAUACAUAUCUGUAUUGAAGGCUUGGCCUGGUGUACUAAUGUUGCACUAACGUCAGCUUACUGACUGGAGCCGAGCAGCCGAGAUGCCGAGCAGCUGCGGCUCAGCGGCCCGACCGAGCCUGGAUCCCGAACCCUGCGCCAACACCACGUCCAGCCUGCUUCUACGCACAGCCGGGGCCCCGCUGCCGACUCAGGGUCUCUCUCCAAUGAGACGGCACGGACACACAACAACCUUCGACGACUUGAAUCAACUCUCACCAGAACGGCAUCGAAAAGAAAAACAUUUUUAAGAAACCAAGAUGCAGAGAGAAGCAGAUCUGACAGCGAAGGCGUCGCCCUGCAGCUGAAACUAACCCAUGUCAUGUUGUUAAUUAGAGAAUGGAAAGAAAUGGUGUAGUUCGCAUUACUGAUGGAAAGCUGUUUGAGAUUUAUUUCUGUCUCGUCCUUAUUUCUGUCUCGUCCUCGUGCGUCGGUCAUUAAAAUGAUAAAAUGAUUAAACUAGCAUUAGCAACGGUCAGGCCAACCUGAAAACAACGGUGUUUCUGUUCCCUCACCCUCUGUGUUGUGAGUCCAUCGUGAGAAUUUUUCUUUUUUUGCAUGCAUGCUCUGUGUGAUGUUGUGUUGUUUGGCUUCACUGUGACACUAACACUGCAGACAGGACCUUGAACAGGAAGGUACUGGAAUAAAAAGGCUUGAUUGUGUGUCUA